rfam:Salmo salar isolate Sally breed double haploid chromosome ssa09, whole genome shotgun sequence.
GAUUCCUAAUGCCAAAGUGAAGGUAUUCAAUGAAGGGCGGGUAAAGGGCGGGAGGCAUUAUGACAUCGAUUAAGGUAGCCAAAUGCCUCGUCAUCUAAUUAGUGACGCGCAUGAAU